CUGCUUGGCAGAAAAGACAUCUGAUCUCACCGGCACACUUUGGAAACUAGAACUGACCACUGAAAGCCAGAACUGACCGAACACCUCGUGCAGAACCAGAGGGUGUGAAACACGAGCAGGCUCACCAUGAAGCAGUCGAACAGAGCCGGUCCCAUGGCAGUGCGCACGUGUUCCUCCACCACCGGGUAGGAGCGCACAAAGUGCUGUGUGGAGACCAGGAGGAACAACCAACCACAGAUCAGCAUUACUGGGCCUUAUGCAAAUGAGGGGGCUGACCUGAAAACCUGGUAAGAGGUUUUAAGAGGAGGAA